CUGAGUUGCAAAACUCCAAACCCAUGUGAACAUACCUCGUGUUGCCUCGGCGGCGAGCGAAGUGCUCGGGAGGUACCUACCCGGUACCUACCCUGGAGCUACCCCGCAGCUACCUACCCGGUAGCUGCGAGGUACCUACCCUGUAGGACUGCCGCAUCCGCCGGAGGACCACCUAAACUCUUGUUUCUAUGUGGCACGUCUGAGUAAUUAUAUUUAAUAAGUCA
rnacentral:misc_RNA from 1 species